GAGAGGCUCACACAAUGAGCACAGUGGGAGGAUUUAACAAAGACAUGUCUCUCUUAUUAUAAGAAAGGCUCAGGUUGGGGUUUGGAUCUUAGGGUAGAGAAUAACACUCAAAGAAAACUAGCUGAGUGUCGACUGGAUUCUGUUUGGACGCCAUGAUCAGGUCAGAGUUCAAGGCUCUUGGACUUUGGUAAGCAGACAAACGGAUUCCUUAGAACAGAAACAACCCUUUGUCUCAACAUUGACUCACUUUCAUAUACAUGCCCUGUCCCAUGCACCCGACUGGAGACAAAACCGCAACAAGCAGGCCCGUCAUUCUUGGGAGCACGGAAAGCCUGUAAAUGUUUCUGUAACAGUGAGUGAGCACUGGCAUGAUGACUCCAGCAGAGGGCAGGCCUGUAUCUUUCUCUCACCAGGACAGGCUUUAAUGUGGUCUGGAUCUCCCAGAGUGAACUCAGGCAAGGAGCUGUUGUACUCUCACACCCGCGUGUCUGUGUCCCGACACCCUCAGCACAACACCUUCACACUGUCACUCAGAAACAUCAGCAGCAGUCAGCGCUCCAACUACUCACUGAAC